rfam:Ancylostoma ceylanicum strain HY135 Acey_s0009_scaf, whole genome shotgun sequence.
UACCUUCUUUCUUGGCGCUCCUAUCGAUUUCAAGAUGGAAGUGUAUGUUAAAGAAGGGAAAUCAUGCCCUGCAUUGGGUAUUCGGGUCUCCUUCGGUGCUAUUCCAGUGAUCUUUCGAGUAGUGUCAUCCUCUGGGCUCGAGACAUUC